rnacentral:rRNA from 1 species
CCAAUAGCGUAUAUUAAAGUUGUUGCAGUUAAAAAGCUCGUAGUUGAAUUUUGGGUUUGGCCGAUUGGUCCGUUCUUGUAGCGAGUACUGGUCGGUUGGGCCUCACCGCUUGGGGAAGGGUAAUGUCCUUUAUUGGGUGUUGCUCGGAGCCAAGACCUUUACCUUGAAAAAAUUAGAGUGUUUAAAGCAGGCUUAUGCCGGAAUCCAUUAGCAUGGAAUAAUAGAAUAGGACAACGAUUCUAUUUUGUUGGCUUCUAGGACCGUUGUAAUGAUUAAUAGGGAUAGUUGGGGACAUUAGUAUUCAAUUGUCAGAGGUGAAAUUCUUGGAUUUAUUGAAGACUAACUACUGCGAAAGCAUUUGUCAAGGAUGUUUUCAUUAAUCAAGAACGAAAGUUAGGGGAUCGAAGACGAUCAGAUACCGUCGUAGUCUUAACCAUAAACUAUGCCGACUAGGGAUCGGGCGAUGUUGUUUCAAUGACUCGCUCGGCACCUUAUG